rnacentral:rRNA from 1 species
CACGAAGGUAAGAUAACGUCGAGAAAUCGGCGCUAAUACCUCAUAAUGCAGCGGAUCCGCAUGGAUAUGUUGUUAAAGGUUUACCGCCUUGGGAUAGGCUUGCGUCUGAUUAGCUAGUUGGUGUGGUAAUGGCACACCAAGGCUACGAUCAGUAACUGGUCUGAGAGGAUGAUCAGUCACACUGGAACUGAGACACGGUCCAGACUCCUACGGGAGGCAGCAGUGAGGAAUAUUGGGCAAUGCACGAAAGUGUGACCCAGCAACGCCGCGUGGAGGAUGAAGGUAUUCUAUAUCGUAAACUCCUGUGAGAGCAGACGAAAGACAGAUUAUUAAUUUGGAUGACUGUAUGCUCAGAGGAAGCCCCGGCUAACUACGUG